CAGGCCACGUUGCUGGGAACACCUGAGCUCCCCACGGCGACCCUCAAACAGCCUGGGGUGCGAGCGUAGGAGGGGCCCCGGAUGCUGAGUGUGCUCCUGAGGGCUGUCCCCGGGGCGUCCUGUCGCAGGGGACGCACUGGGCACCCUGCUCCUGGAGGGCGGGAGAGAGCCGCUGACAGAGCCGCAAGAGGCCAGCAGGGGGCGCACGGGACAGGCAGGAGCAGGGCAGUGCGGCCCCACCCGGGCUCCCCCACCGGCGGGUCUGCACCGGGCUAGGCCAGGAGGUCCCCAAAUCUGUCCCAGGAGACUUGAGAUCCUCUGGCCUGGGGGACAGAUGUGCUCCGUGUGCUGCAGGGAUGCCGAGGACCAACCUUGAGUGGCAUUGCCUGGGGGCCAACCGAGCUGGGCUAUCUGAGACACCUCUGUGAGCCAUUUGUGGGCAUUUGAAUUUUAUUAAAACUAAAACUGAGGGCCGGGGAUUUAGCUCAGUGGUUCUGUGCCUGCCUCGAAAGCACAAGGUACUAAGUUCGGAUCCCGGUGCAGGAAAAAACCAAAACAAAAACUAAAGUUGAAAAUGCAGUCCCCCAGUGUCAAGUGUGCAGCAGCUGUGCAGACUAGUAGCUGCGUAGCUCAGGAGUGACGGCAGGCCCAGGAGGUGACUGCCCACCCAUACCCCUGGGAGCGGCACUCCCUUCUAUCUGCAGCCUCCAGCUAGAGAAACAGCCAAGUCAGAGCUGGGAGCUGAGCUGGGUCCUAACUCCUGAAGCAGAGCUCCCUCUACUGGACGCAAAGGAGGCAACAGCGCACGGAUGGAGACAGGCGGGAGGAUGAAGCUGGAUAGGUUAUGCUCAGGUGGACGGGGCCCUGUGCAAGCCCUGUCGAUCAGCCAAGCCAUGAACUGAGGGCCCCAAGUGCACCUGGGCAUGGUGGCACACGUUUGUAAUUCCAGCACGUGGGAGGCUGAGGCAGGAGGAUCACCGUGAGUUUGAGACCAACCUGGGCUAUGUAGUGAGUUAAAGCCCAGCCUGGACUACAUAGAGAGACCCUGUCUCAAAAAUAAACAAAUAAACAAAAGUUGGGAGGAGGAGGGAGGGCAGAGGUUCCAAGAUGGCCAAGUGUCCAGGCUCCUGGGAAGCGGUAUGAAGCCUCUCUCCAAGGGUCUCAUCCUCACCACACAGGGGCAGAUGGCAGGCUCUAGCCCUCAGGAAGCCUGCUGGCAGCUGUGAUCCCAGAGUGUCUUCCCUGUGUAUGCCACCAUUCCUGACAUGUGCUGUUCUCUCUCAGACCCACCUAAAUGGGUGGACUUCAUCUUGGCCCGUGUUUCACAGCCCCUAGCUACCCAGGACUCUUCCUUGGGGCAUCAGACAGCCCUCCUUGUUUUGUGGCAGGCCAGCCUUUCCCAAUUUUAGAUCAGGGCCCCAGGGACACCCAACUGGGAUCAUGGGACCUGGAGCUCCGCCCCCCCCCCGGUGAUCCACCAAGAUCUCAGUCAUGUUCACUCGGCACAGUGCUCCGCCUGCACAUGCUUUGCACAGGACUGUGCAGUGUUUGCCAGCCUGCCAUGCCUGACACCCUACACUCAGCCAGCGCUCAGAUCUGUCCUUCAGCAGAUCUGAGUCUCAUGAAGAUGCUACCCCAUGCUAGAAAGGAAGAAAGAAAAAAAGCCAACGGAGAAGUCAGGGUGUGCAGUAGCCCUGGGGUGGCAGAGGUGGAUAGGGCAGGAAGAGCUGGGUUAACACCCGCUAAGAGGGCUGUCCAGGCUGGGGACCUUAUGGGGCCGAGGGGAGAACUAGGAGGCAGAAAGGAGUUGUCUAUCCUUCAACAAAGACCAACGGCCUCUUGCGUGGCCUGUGCUAGGAUACAGAGGAUGGCUGAAUUCCCUUUUCCUCUGGGGGAAGAAAUUGGGGUUCAGAAUCUAACGUGCCGCUUUGACUAUAAGCUGGCAAGCUCCUUGCAGGUCCCAGAGGUCACUCACACAGCCGUCGCGGGAAGCCAGCCAAGCUCUCCCCAGCUGCUUCUGAAGGCGCGGCCCAGGGGCAGAGGAACAAUUGGCCGCUGUUGCCCGCUUUCUGCUCAGUGAGUGCAGCCGCAGACACCCCGUGUGACUUUCCGGCUGGACCCUCCCAAUCCUUGCUGGGCCCGCCCCUCCGCGCGAAACUGGGACCCGAGCGCAAAAUCAGACGCAGGGGACGGUAGCGCGCAGGCGUGGCAGCGGCGGCCCGACGGCGAUCCCGGCCUGCUCUGCGAGCUGACGUCGCGC
ensembl:lncRNA